AGGACAGAAAAGGCUUCCCUGGAGAUCGCAACCCUGCGAAGAAACCCCAUAGCUGAGUGCUGCCCUGUAGGCACUUAGGUCCAGGACUCUGCGGCGGGGAGCGAGCGAGGGGCCACCCGGGGCCCUCCGGGGAGCCCUCCCAGGAGCCCUGGCCAGCGCCCCGCAGGGGUCGGGGUGCGCAGUACUCACGUAGUGCUUGGAAGGGUUCCUCCGCUUCUCCACGUCCACCACGGUGGCAUCUUGCACGCAGUAGGCGAGCAUCUUCCCCCACGAAGCGAGCAGCGCCCCCCCGGCGACGUCACCUUCUCAUCCCGGCCGGGCUCUGGCUCCUUCUCUCGCUGCCCGGGUCCUCGGGGCCACUCGCCACCUCUGCCCGGCGCGCCGAUCGCUGCCCCGGCUCCGGGAGCCCACAGAUUGCUACUGCAGGCAGCUGACCUGCCUUGAUCCAGAUCUGAUGAGUACUGCUCCAGAGGCAUUCAAGGAGCCUCAGGACACACAGCAGAGGCUCCAUCCUAGCCACAGGUCAGGAAAGCCUCCCAGGAGACAUUGAAGCACUAGCGGAGCAGGAGUCAGCCUCGUGGCAAGAGGAUGGAGCAGGAGCUCCAGCACCUGCUGCAGCACAGCCUCACUCAGGCCGGGGAAGACGUUCAGACGAGCACAGGCCAAGAUGUGCAGGAAGUGGCAACCCUUCUCCACAUCUGCAGGAAAAAGGCAGGUGGUUAAGCGCAGACACAACUGUCAGAGCCGCCUCCGUCCACCCCCUCUGCAGACCUCCUGAAUCAGCACCUGCAUUUUGACAAGUUCCCCAGAUGAUUAUCACACACAUUAAGUUUGAGAUGUACCUGUCUAGAUUAUCACAAAAACAAAACAAAAAACCUGUUCUCAGGCCCUCUAUGUCACCACAGUGACGCGGACCCACUGCUUAGGGUCUCUGACCUUCAACCUUCAACGAUUCCCAAUCAGUGAUUUUAUAUGCAUAACUGAAUGGAGUUUUAGAGCUUGAUCAAUGUUUUUCUCCAGUGCAAUUUCAUGUACAAGUGCAUGUAUUCAGUGCUAAACCUCUGGCUUCCCAGAUGGCCCCCUCUGGAGGCUCACAGCAGAGCCAGUUUGCAGUGGCCUCCACACUCUGCCUCCAGUGUCCUGAUGUGAUGGGGCUGCCAUAGCAAGAAGCGUUCCUACCUUUACCUGUUCUCAUUUUUCUCUGCUGGCUCCCAACAAGCCUUGUCUGUGACAGCUGUGUUCUAGUAACCUCUUACCCUCUACCCCAAACUAAGACCACUUGGUAUACAAUGAUAAAAGUUGAGGGUUAGUAACUCCUUUCCUAGUUGAAAUCAAUGAUUUAGAGCAGUGGUAUUCAUGCUGAGGGUGGUGACCAUUAGGGAAUCAUGAUAUCAAUUUUCAUGGGUUGUAAUUAGCAUUCUUUUUCUUACCAAACAGACUAAAAUAGACUAGAAUAGAAAAUUACAGA